rnacentral:rRNA from 1 species
AACGUAGGUUCCGAGCGUUAUCCGGAUUUACUGGGCGUAAAGCGCGUUCAGGCGGUUUGGCAAGUCGGGCAUGAAAUCUCUCGGCUCAACCGGGAGAGGUUGUCCGAUACUGCUGGACUUGAGGGCAGUAGAGGGUGGUGGAAUUCCGGGUGUAGUGGUGAAAUGCGUAGAUAUCAGGAGGAACACCGGUGGCGAAGGCGGGUCUCUGGGCCGAUACUGACGCUGAGGAGCGAAAGCGUGGGGAGCGAACAGG